rnacentral:rRNA from 1 species
CUGCUGCCUCCCGUAGGAGUUUGGGCCGUGUCUCAGUCCCAAUGUGGCCGUCCACCCUCUCAGGCCGGCUACUGAUCGUCGCCUUGGUGGGCCGUUACCCCGCCAACAAGCUAAUCAGACGCGGGUCCAUCUUACACCACCGGAGUUUUUCACACAAAUCCAUGCGGCUUCGUGCGCUUAUGCGGUAUUAGCACCUAUUUCUAAGUGUUAUCCCCCAGUGUAAGGCAGGUUACCCACGCGUUACUCACCCGUCGCCACUAAGAUUA